rnacentral:lncRNA from 1 species
UUUCCAGCGUUCUGUUCUCCGCUCAUUCUCGUAUGUUGUUUAUGACCUGACCCUUGCCUUUAUCUUUUAUUAUGUUGCCACCAAUUACUUCCACCUCCUUCCUCAACCCCUCUCUUAUGUGGCCUGGCCAAUUUACUGGUCCCUCCAAGGCUGUGUCCUCACUGGCAUUUGGGUUAUAGCACAUGAGUGUGGGCAUCAUGCCUUUAGUGACUAUCAAUGGCUUGAUGACAUAGUUGGCCUUCUCCUCCAUUCCUGUCUCCUUGUCCCUUACUUUUCAUGGAAACAUAGCCACCGCCGUCAUCACUCUAACACCGGUUCCCUUGAGCGAGAUGAAGUAUUUGUCCCUAAAAAGAAAUCCAACAUCCGCUGGUUCUCCAAAUACCUUAACAACCUACCAGGCCGCCUAUUCACUCUUACCAUAACACUUGCCCUUGGCUGGCCGCUAUACCUAGCAUUUAAUGUUUCAGGCAGGCAUUAUGACCGAUUUGCCUGUCACUUUGACCCAUAUGGCCCUAUCUACAAUGAUCGCGAGCGAACUGAGAUAUUCAUUUCUGAUGCUGGUGUUCUUGCUGUCACUUAUGGUCUCUACCGUCUUGCUCUAGCAAAGGGCUUUGCUUGGGUUAUUUGCGUUUAUGGAGUACCUUUGUUAGUGGUGAAUGCAUUUCUUGUUAUGAUCACAUAUCUGCAACAUACUCAUCCUUCAUUGCCGCAUUAUGAUUCUUCUGAGUGGGAUUGGCUGAGAGGCGCGCUCGCAACUGUUGAUAGAGAUUACGGAAUCUUGAACAAGGUAUUCCAUAACAUUACAGACACUCAUGUAGCUCACCAUUUGUUUUCUACAAUGCCACAUUAUCAUGCAAUGGAGGCUACAAAUGCCAUAAAACC